rnacentral:rRNA from 1 species
CACACGACUCUCGGCAACGGAUAUCUCGGCUCUUGCAUCGAUGAAGAACGUAGCAAAAUGCGAUACCUGGUGUGAAUUGCAGAAUCCCGUGAACCAUCGAGUUUUUGAACGCAAGUUGCGCCCGAGGCCUUUUGGCCGAGGGCACGUCUGCCUGGGCGUCACGC